rnacentral:rRNA from 1 species
AUUGAACGCUGGCGGCAGGCUUAACACAUGCAAGUCGAACGAGUGGCGGACGGGUGAGUAAUGUAUGGGGAUCUGCCCGAUAGAGGGGGAUCACUACUGGAAACGGUGGCUAAUACCGCAUACCAUCAGAUGAACCCAUAUGGGAUUAGCUGGUAGGUAAGGUAACGGCGUACCUCGGAGACGCUCCCUAGCUGGUCUGAGAGGAUGAUCAGCCACACUGGGAAUGAGACACGGGCCAGACUCCUACGGGAGGCAGCAGGGGGGAAUAUUGGACAAUGGGCGCAAGCCUGAUGCAGCCAUGCCGAGUGUAUGAAGAAGGCCUUCGGGUUGUAAAGUACUUUCAGUCGGGAGGCGUUACCGACAGAAGAAGCACCGGCUAACUCCGUGCCAGCCGCCGCGGUAAUAC